rnacentral:snRNA from 2 species
UUCCCUGCCUCAGCGACAGAUACUAAAAUUGGAAUGAUACAGAGAAGAUUAGCAUGGCCCCUGCACAAGGAUGUCACUCACAUUCGCGAAGUGUUCCAUAUUUUU